GGUAGAUUGGACCCUACCAAUAGCACGUGUACUGGGCCAGGACGUAAAGGUCUUCUCCAUCGUAAAAAAAAAGAAAACACGCACUAACGCGUCAGCUGUUUGGAUAUGCGCAAGUGUUGGAGUGGUAAUAAAAUUUCCAUUCCUGUGAUUUGCACUUUCGUUCAGCCUGAUUAUUUUCCCGUUUUCUCCGUAGUGCUAACACACCGAGUUCCAGUUAUUCAUACAGAGAAAUAGGAUGCAAGAAAGAUUUUGCAGAUAAAAAUUAAGCUGCUGUUAAGUUUCUUCUCGCCCAUAAUGCCCUUCAGUCAAUGUCGGAGCCCUACCAAGCAUACUACAACAGUUGCCAAGCAGUUUACCUCCGCUAUAUACAUACUAGUGCAAGGCUUAGGUGUUACAAAGGUAGUGAAAUACUUGUUCUGCGAACCUCACAGAGUGCUAUCAAAAGACUAGCAGAAUUUGCUGAAGGAUUGGUACUGGAAACGUAAGAUCCCUUUUCGGCUACUAUGGGCUUCCAAAACUAUCACUAACAUGUUUAAAGGACUGGCCGCGCUAACGUUUGACGACUACCUGAGUACAAGAAGGUAUGAUGAACGACAAACUAGCCACGCUGUACAAAGGAAUUGCACGGAACGGUUGGAAGAUGGUGGUUGGACGGAGUCGGCAAAGCGCACACCAAACAGAUAGGUGGUGUUAUAGAGUAUAGUGUGAAUAGUUUAUUCAAGGGACUGGGGCAAAGUGGGAUUGAUAGGUUGUCCGGUUCCCAGUGUGAUAGAAUGUAUACAGUGAUGUCCCGAUUGUAUCAAACCCUUCGGCGUAUUUUAAACUAACAAAAUGGGAACAUCGACAAAAUCAUGGCAUAUUUUCUUCCAUUUUAAUAAAACUAAGCUGUUGAAAUAUUCUUCUUUAUCCUCAUCGAAAUCCUUGAAUUACGUAAAUACCCUGACAUUGGGAUGCUAUCAUUUAUGUUCUUAGUUUUCAUCGUUUUACUAAACAUUAGAA